AUACGGAGGGUGCAAGCGUUAUCCGGAAUCAUUGGGUUUAAAGGGUCCGCAGGCGGUCAAUUAAGUCAGAGGUGAAAUCCCGUCGCUCAACGACGGAACUGCCUUUGAUACUGGUUGACUUGAGUUAUACGGAAGUAGAUAGAAUGUGUAGUGUAGCGGUGAAAUGCAUAGAUAUUACACAGAAUACCGAUUGCGAAGGCAGUCUACUACGUAUAUACUGACGCUCAUGGACGAAAGCGUGGGGAGCGAACAGGAUUAGAAACCCCGGUAGUCC
rnacentral:rRNA from 1 species